CCUUAUAUCGCGGCGUAGUUGUUGCUAUCAGGGAUGCGACUUCGUUUGCAUUAACGACUUCUUUGACAAUUGGUAGUGAUUCAACUUGAUUUGCCCUGCCCUACUUACUUUUAGUCGCAUUUGCCUUUUAUUAUAUUGUGCCCCAGUGACCUUGCGCCACUGCUUCUGCACCCUCCGUAUCGGGCGACAACGAACCUCGGUUUUUCUGUGUAUGUCUGUACGCGUAGAUGAUAGUCCCUAAAGUCAACACUGCAACAACACCUCAGUCCAACUGGGUAUCUACUGACCACGAUGUCUUCGGUAUACUGUACUGUACUGCUGCAGUCGCCCCGUCAGACUCUGGACAGAGCGCGGAGAUCAGGCUGAAUAGGUAGGUAGAUUCACGAUCACCCCAUAAUUACCAUGACUUGGAUUUAUGAAAGAUUAACAUCUGCGAAAGCAUUUGUUAAGGAUGUUUUCGUUAAUCAAGAACGAAAGUUAGGGGAUCGAAGACGAUCAGAUACCGUAGUAGUCUUAACCAUAAACUAUGCCGACUAGGGAUUGGUGGCAGUUAAUUAUAUGACUCCAUCAGCACCUUAUGAGAAAUCAAAGUUUUUGGGUUCCGGGGGGUAUAGUAUGUGGCACACGAAUAGUC
rfam:Sphaeroforma arctica JP610 cont1.17203, whole genome shotgun sequence.